GAAACUCCUGCUCAUUUAUUUAGCAUCUUCAGAGAUCAUCGGCUUUUCUGGGAAGAGCUUUUCUCUGAUCUGGUAGUAUCACAAGAUUGACAGAUACAUCAGCACAUCAACUGGCCAGAUGCCUUUGCAUCCUGGUCUCCUGUCGCUGCAUCAGAGCAUAGCAAGCAAGGCAUGAGGAAAAGGUGAACAGUGCUGGGAACAAGAGGAACAAGAAGCUGGAGCAGGUGAGAAGAGCCAACCUAAGGCUGGUCCACACUUUCUGACAGCAACCCACAUAAAAGGACAUGGAAGACAGAAGUUUUUCCUUUCUGCCUGUUUGACCUCGAUUUCGAUAUUGGGUUCAUCUACCCUGUUCCUGAAUCACUUCUUCACUGCUGUGAGGACAUACUCCUUCAGGAGUCCAAUGUAGACUGAAGAACAGCAGCUCUCUAGAACCUCCCUGGGACUCUACCCUGGGUCUGGUAUUGCUGAGACAUCUAGUAUAACAGAUGGAUCAGCAGCCAGAUCCAUAGCUUUUCCGUUAGGAGACAGCUAUUGUUGGACGAGAUGGACCACACCCUGUAUGUGAAUCAGUCUAAUAAAUCUCAGGCAAACAUACAUACAUACAUACACACAUACAUACAUACACACACACAAACACACACACACACACACACACACACACACACACACGUGCGCACGCGCGUGCGCACAUACUGUUCCACUUCACCUUUAAGAACCCUGACGAACACUUUUUUUUUAUUAUUCCCUCUGUGUCCUGUGUAUGGAUAAAGAUGGAAGCUCUCAGUUCCUUGUUCCUGCUGGCAUGCCUUCCCCACCCUCUGUUACAGACAUCUAGCCCUCUGGAGCACUAAGGAAAAUUGUUUGAUUAUGGCAUUUUAACAGAGCAGCAAAAUAGUAACUAAAUAUAGACUCGUUAUCUCAAUUUAUGUCCCCUCUUUGACCUCAGUCCUCUGCCCAUCACACCCGGCCCUUUCAGGUGACAAUAGGGAGUGACCACAUGAUAUAGCCAUGGCCUCUGCUGCACUCUCUACAACUGCAUUUUUAAAUCUCCCACUGAACAUAAUUUACUUUGCAAUUACAAGAUAAAUACUUUUUUUGACCAACAAGUACUUACACUUUAUAAGAGAACAGCACAGAAUGGUACCCCUUCCUAGCUAAGCAACUCUGACUCCUGUCUGCCCUUUCAUUUAAAAUGCUUUCAUCUCAUUAGGCCUCACUUAAAAUGCGGGUGAUUUCCUGUUAAUUGAACAUAUACUAAUAAAAUGGUGUCUCUGCCAUUAUGAAAUCUCUCUUAUACUCCACACUGGAGUCUGGAAUUCAGGUCACAGAAACUUGUUAACCAUUCACACACAGUCCCCAAAACACAGUUAAUAGAAGGGAAAGAGGCUUCAGAUGUGGAUGAAUAGAGCAAUCAGCUUGGUGAGUAGUGACGAGUCUCCUAAGGGAUGGUCUGUAACUGAACCAAGGGACUGAUGGAUUGUGCUGCUGUGGAGCGGAAGAACCUGCUAAUUGUUUCCUUCUCACAUUUGCCAAAUCUGGACACAGCAAAGAAAGUUAUAUGGGCUUGGUCAAAACUUCAGAAGUGAGAACUCUAUACUAGUCUUGAAUUACAAAGGGAUACUGUCUGAAUCUAUUAGCAUUGUCAGGCUUAUCUGGGACUGUUUGUGAAACUCAUGAAGUUUUAUACUACACAUGUCCAGUGGUAGACAAUGUCCAGAAGGCAAAACACAAUAGGUAUGACUUCAGCAGACUAGGGUUAUCCUAGCCUUUCAAACAAAUGUUAAACAACUUAACCAUUUUUUUUUACUGUGAUUACAUGAACAGAAGCAACAAAUUGAUUUUUUGGAGAACCCUGGAUCUCUCUCCCUGCACUCUCAUUUGUAAGUGCGGAAGCAGUUGUGUGCAGAACAUCUGGGAAAGGUCAUCUUAGCUUCUUCCUGAAUGAGGCACGCUCCCUGUGAUGGUGGAACCAUGGCCAACAGGUGUUCUUUUUUAGAAAUGUCCCUGUGCAAGCUUGUCUACUUUUCCUGGAAAUGCUUGUAGCUAAAAUCCUCCAGCAUAUGGUCUCCUACGACCAUAUUACCAUUGCCUGAUACCGGCUCCAUCCAGAAACACGAUACACAGUUCAUCUACUGACACCAGGAGAGUACAGAGCCAUCCUGAGUGGUAGGCAAAGUGCUUGCUCUUAUUCCACAGAUGAGACCCCUGAGGCUCAAGCUGCUGAGUCCCUUUCCACAUGGCUAUCUGGGUACAAGGAAGGAUGAGCUAGGCUUUUUAGUCUCCACUGUGUCUGGCACUGAGCCAUGUGUAGUACAUUGAGAGAUGAGCUGGAAAAGGAAACUUCCAAUAUCAGGAACCUUAAAGGAAAGCUCCUGCACUCAGGAAUGUAUUUCCACUGUGGACACAUUCCCUUUGUGACCAAGCCAAAUUCCAGUUGUUCUCUAUACAAGGAAGGAAAAAAUAUAUAUAUUAUUGAUAUUUGAAAAUCUACCUUGGGUACCAAUACACAAGACUUGGUAUUUCUGUAACAACAAGUUUUGGUAUUCUGUCUGGACUCUGCCCGCACAGUUACCUGACAACAGCCAGGAAUGCUCCUCCCCACAGUUAGCUACAACAGCCAGGUAGGUCUGGCCACCUAUAAAAGGGGCUGCUUGCCCCCUUCUCUCUCUUACUCCUGCCUUUCUCUCUCUUGCCUCCUUGCUCCCUCCUCCCCAUUCCCUUCUCCCUCUCUCUUCACGUGGCCGUUACCGGCCUCUACUUCUCUACUCUCUCCUUCUCUCUGCCUUUCUCUGCCUCUACUACUCUCUUACCUACCCACCCUUUGAGCUAAAUAAACUCUAUUUUAUACUACACUGUCAUGUGGCUGGUCUCUCAGGGGUAAGGGAUGCCUUGGCAUGGGCCCACUGAGGCACCCCCUUCCCACACACCCAGCCAGAACAUAUUCUCAUAGGUCUUUCUCAUUUUUAUGAUCACAACAACAAUUUCAGGAGAAAAGCUGAUGAGGGAAGGGAAAUAAUGUAAAAAGGCUUACAAGGGCCUGACCAGAAGAGGUUGCAAAACACAGCUCCACACUGCUGUCGCCUGCCUGACUCAGGCAGCCUCAUGUCAGCAGCUACCAACACUUUCUUUUUUUAUGAAGCAAGUACCUUACAGUCUAUUUCAACAAAUGCUGUGCAUCAAACUAAAGUUAGCAAAGUCACUCUUGGUCUUCCUGCUGUCCUAAGAGAGUGUAAUUAUGAUGAACGAGGACAAUCUAAUAAAAAGUGGCAAGGACCAUGAACAAAGCCCAACGCUACCUCGAAUUAGCAGCUGACAACCACAAGCACAAGAAUCCACUCGCUACUAGUCAUUGGGAAACAUUAAAGGAAAAACUACAUCUUUUCAUUACAAUGCAUUUGGUUCUAGAGGAUGUCUGUCUAUACUGCAAACCUACAAACCUAUUGUGGCAGAUGAGAAGGCUUUUGAAUAAAUACUUGUUAAUAGCCUGGACAGAUAAAAUAAUAUAUAAUCUCAUUGCACGACACAGGGUUUCUUUAAAAGACAGCUCCUCUACUUAAAUAUUCAUGUUUCAAUUAAAAUGUACACCUACUUUAUUAGCCACACCAGGUCCAGUUCAGAUCAAUAACAGCAGCACUAGAUGGAAUUCUAAUGAAGAUAAACAACUCUGAGUCCUCUCAGCUCCCCCUGGGCACCACACACAAAGCUUCCUUUCAUUACUUGCUGCAAGCCUAUUUUACAGUCACCUGCCUCAUGCAAAUGAGGAGCCUCAUGUUUAUUCAUGAGGAGAGUUACAGACUACCUUUCAUUCCAUAGGCUGGCUCAGUGAACCUAAAGAGUGAGCUGAGCAGGGCUGGGAGGAGGACUUCUGAAUAUACAACUGUCUUCUGCAAAGCACACACUGGAAGUCAGUAAGCCAAAAGCAAUGUGAGAAGUAAGCCGUCCCCUGUGAGCCCAGGCAUUUGCCAGUGUUAACAUUUUAACCACCAUCCCAUUUUAUGCCACACCAAGAUCCAUUAUUUUCUGUGACUCCUCUUCAGGGGAUUUCUUAGAAUGUUUCCUUCUGGUCCAUUCUCCAAUUCUUCCUAAUUGGGAUUUUCUCCCAUUGACACAGAUGAUGCCCACAGCUUGGCCAAGGGGCAGCUGCUUUGCUAGCCCCGGGUUGUUCCACCUCGGUCUCUGAUAUUUUAAGCAUCCACGACUUUUCAUCUGUGAGUGUAAGAUUCCAAGCCUUAGCAAAGUGUGCCUAGCCUAUUUUUGCUGUUGGAUAAAAUUCCAAGAUAGCUCUAUUACUUACUUCGCAGUAAGGCCACUUUUAAAAUUGUCACUUCCAUUUCAUUACAUGGAAACAUGCAAAGUUGUGUCAUCUCCGUUUAUAAUGUUGAUUUUUGAUAGUGCCAUCAAUACCAAAAAGACAGAUUGCUGAUGGUCCUUAGAAUGACUUGAGUACCACUAAAUGAGUCUGACCAAGUAGUCAGCUUUUGGAGAGGCCCUAGUUCUCAUCAACUGUUAGGGACACACAAUUCUUGAGGCCUGCUGAUAUCCUAUUAGGCUGCUAUCAUGAUGUGCCAAUGUGGGAAACCAAGUCAGUUCUUAAAGCUGUUUGGCAACAAAUUGCUGAAGUCAGCAUAAGUUUAAUUUUUGCCACUGUUAGGUUAGUCGUACCGUUCAGAACUUGGCGUAAGGUUCACGGACAUCUUCACCAUUCACCACCAUUUUAACCUGAUAUGCUUAAAAUGAACUUCAAAAAGCUGCUUGGCCAUGUUUGCAGAUGAGAUUUAUCUUAUGAUUUCUUUUUUAAAAAGCUGUAUCACAUCUGCAUAUAAAUUUACUUCCUCAACAUAUGUUUACAUGUAUGACUCCAAUUACUAUAGCAUCACCAAUAAGAGAAGAUGAGACAGCAUUUCCAUUUUUCUUUUUUGUUAAUUUUCAGGCAUGGAAUUUUUGAGUAUGACAAAUGGUCACAGUACUCUUCUCAAUGCAGGCAGUCUGAAUUAGUUGGAAAUAUGUGUGGCAUAUAUCUAUAUCAAUAGGUGGAAAUCCCAUUGUUACAACUCACCUUGAGUGAGCAACUCUAACUUCAUGAAAACAAUUCGUGGAUAGCUUUUUCCCACUGAAUGGUUUCCCUGGUCGGUGGUUCUACUGCCCACUGAGCUAAGAGGUCCUAUGUGCUCCAAAUGUAUCCACGGUUUGAGACAUACUGCUGCAUAGAUCCAUAUUCCACUUGCAAACUCUUGUUAGAAUAAUUAAAGUGAGACAACUACAACCCACACAAGCAUAAAAUAAGAUUCCUGUAAACAAAACAUUAUAAGUGAAGCCCUCAAAUGAUGGUUGGGCCACUUGUGUGGGAAAAUAGCUGGCAGCAGUUUAGCUCUUCCCUGACACCCCUACAAAUGAAUAAUGCAUGUUCUAAAAUAUUGGUAAUAAAAGCCAAAACACAGAAUACAAACUCAAUGGCCUGAAUCAAGGGAUUAUUCUGUAGACUGCUAUAUCUAGAAAGUGAAAGUUCUUUCCGAAGCAUAAGUAUUUUAAUCAUCCCAAUUCUACUUCUCUUACAUAAAUAAGAAAACUUCCCGUCUGCUGCUCCUCAAGACUGGAAGAGCAGUAGCCAGCUGCUUUUCCAAACGCCGUCUUCCAGCAGUGGCAUUAACUAGUGACAUUAACUAGCACAUUCCAGAUACCUUCAAGCUGAAGCCGAAGUCAGGGUACCCACCAGAAGCUAUUCCUGCCUUUGCUAGAACGUGCUGCAAGUGCUAUGUUGGUGAAAUUAAAAUUUUGAAUUAGUGGCCCUGAGGUAGGCAAUUCAAUCUCCAUUUCAUGCUGUAUAUAAAACGACCAGAGCCUGAGAUAUCGAAAGUAUUUCAAAAGCAAUGGUGUUUCAUGUUGGGUUCUUUUAAAAUAUUCCUGAAUUCGAAUUUAGACAAUCUCAGGAACAUGAUAUCAUUUAAAUCUACCAGAAACUCCAAACCCACAUUUGUUCCUAAAUUCAAUCUCCUCUGCUACCAAGUUAAUAACAAGAAGAAAAGUGAACUGAUUUCAAUUUCAGCACUUCUCUCUGCUUCCAUUUAUUAUUGAGUAAAGCGGCACAGUGGUUGAUAGGCAGGAAGCAAGAAAAAAGAAAUAAAAAAUGGAAAGGCUGCAUGGAAUGGUGGUAGUGGCUCUCACACUGCACACUCAUUGUCGUCUUUCUUUUUGCCCCCAAAGUAAAAAGGCAGGGAGAACAGGGACACAAAGGAAAGGGGACACAAACAUAUCUGUAUUGAGCCUGAGAAGCUCUCAGCUGAAUUCUGGAAUUAUGUCUACCAGUCAAAUUACAAGCAAAGAGUUUUUCUAUCAAUACUGUAUUAAAAGUUGUUAUUAACACUUAUAGAUAAAACAAACACAGAUAAAAUAUAGACUAUGAUGGUCAGCAGAAUACCCUCCAAGGAGGCCCAUGUUUUAAUCCCUAAGAUGUGUAAGUGUGCUACACGGCAAAGCGUUAUUUAGGUUACCAAUAGAAUUAAGGUUGUUUUUUUUUGCCAACCUUAACACUGGGAGCUUAUUAUCGUGAAUUAUCCAAAUUCCAAACAAUCUUGGGACACUUAAAAAAAAGACAUCAGAGGUGGCAUCAGAAAGGACUAGACCCACAGCGGUUGGCAUUGAAGAGAGAGAAACAGGAUGCAAACCAAGGAAUAUAGCAACCUCUAGAAGCUAAAGACUGUGAGGAAACAAAUUUUCCCCUAGAACAUUCAGAUAGAAACAUUGCUUGUUGAAGCCUUAACUGUGAUCCAAGGAGACACUGUUAGCUUCUGAAUUAUAGAACAGUCAGAUAAAAAAUUUGCAUUGUUCAAGCUACUAAUUCUGCAGUCAUUUGUGGUAGUAGGAAAAGAAAAUGAAUACAUAUGCUAUUUACUAUUUAUCUAUAUCUAUGUAUCUGUGUACUUAUAUUUCAAUAAAUUCAUGUAUGUGUUUAUGCAUUCAUCUUGAAAUAUGCUUUUCUUUAAUAAGCAGGGGAAAAGCAGAGUAUUAUGGGAAAUUAAAAUCCCGUGUCUUUUCUAUGCUUGACCCCUCUCUGACACUAAUUCUUGAACCAAUGUUAAUCUAUAUCACGGAUGGUGAGGUAGCCUUCCACGAGGAGUGAGUGUCCUAACACAGAACACAGAGACUUGCUUGGCUGGCCUGCCCCCACAGCACAUGAAGAGUCACGCUGAUCCAGGGCAGAGUGGCCACAGCCACUUUGAAAGGCUAUUGAUUUAAGUCUCCUCUUGUGACUUGAGUGGGGAAGGCCUCCUUUCUCUGGGGUGAUUUGCACCUGAAUAGCAAAGUCUCUCAUAAUCAAG